rnacentral:rRNA from 1 species
AACGUAGGUUCCGAGCGUUAUCCGGAUUUACUGGGCGUAAAGCGCGUUCAGGCGGUUUGGCAAGUCGGGCAUGAAAUCUCUCGGCUCAACCGGGAGAGGUUGUCCGAUACUGCUGGACUUGAGGGCAGUAGAGGGUGGUGGAAUUCCGGGUGUAGUGGUGAAAUGCGUAGAUAUCCGGAGGAACACCAGUGGCGAAAGCGGCCACCUGGACUGUACCUGACGCUCAAACGCGAAAGCUAGGGGAGCGAACGGGAUUAGAAACCCCGGUAGUCCUAGCUAUAAACGAUGUUGACUAGGUGUCGACGGGUUAAAAUCCGCCGGUGCCGGAGCAAACGCAUUAAGUCAACCGCCUGGGGACUACGGCCGCAAGGUUAAA